rnacentral:rRNA from 1 species
CACCGCGGUUAUACGAGUUGGCCCAAGUUGACAGACAACGGCGUAAAGAGUGGUUAAGGAAAAUAAAAACUAAAGCCGAACACCUUCAAAGCUGUCAUACGCUCCCGAAGAUAUGAAGCCCAACCACGAAAGUGACUUUACACUACCUGAACCCACGAAAGCUAAGAAA